rnacentral:rRNA from 1 species
AACGAACGCUGGCGGCAUGCCUAACACAUGCAAGUCGAACGGGAUCCUAGCUUGCUAGGUGAGAGUGGCGGACGGGUGAGUAACACGUGGGAAUCUGCCUUUUGGUUCGGGAUAACCGCGGGAAACUGCGGCUAAUACCGAAUGCCCUCGUGAGAGGAAAGAUUUAUCGCCAGAAGAGGAGCCCGCGUCCGAUUAGGUAGUUGGUGGGGUAAAGGCCUACCAAGCCGACGAUCGGUAGCUGGUCUGAGAGGAUGAUCAGCCACACUGGGACUGAGAUACGGCCCAGACUCCUACGGGAGGCAGCAGUGGGGAAUAUUGGACAAUGGGGGCAACCCUGAUCCAGCAAUGCCGUGUGAGUGAUGAAGGCCUUAGGGUUGUAAAGCUCUUUUACCAGGGACGAUGAUGACGGUACCUGGAGAAUAAGCCCCGGCUAACUUCGUGCCAGCAGCCGCGGUAAU